rnacentral:guide_RNA from 1 species
AUCAACAGUAGAGGAUGGGGUGAUAAUAGAUUGUGAGAUAAU